UUGAACUAAUUUUACCCGUUUUCCUACAUCUAAAUAUGGGUUCAACCAAUCAGCAAAGCUCUUAUCCAUCACGUGAUCAUUAUUGAUCCGUUUACCAAAAGAGAAAGCAUGGUUUAUUGAACUGCUGAAUUUUUCGAAUUUAUACCAUAUUUCCUACAGGAAAUCCUAAAGCUUUUGUUGUGAUACCAUUUUGAAGAUUUCGGACGAUGUGAUCUGCUUGUUAUUUACAGAAAAACGUCUGUAAAGUGAGUUUUUGUUACGAAAUCGACCUUGUAAAGUUUACAUCCGGGCAUUUAGCAUGCUGAGGAGUUCACAACUCAGGACGACCAAAAUAAUUUACAUGUGAUUUUUACAUAGAUAUUCUAUUACUACGAGUCGUCUGGGGAAUAAUAUGGUCAAUUGAAGUAAAUUUGGUAAACGAUCGAUAAACAGUGUCAGUGUAUCUACAGUGGUUUAAAAUAUGUAGUAAAUAAUGUCGGGCUCGAGAUCCCGAAAACUCUUACAUGAACUAUGUCAGCUGUAAACAUAGACCCUUUGCUGUAGGUCUCUGCUGUAAACAAUAAGAUUCAAUUACAUUAUAGACCUGACAGUGUAUAGACUUGUUCCUGGGAGGUUUUUGCAACUGGCCGUCAGUGAUUCACCUACAUCGUUAAUCCUAACACCAUGAUCAAGCCUGGAGAUUUUAUCAAUCACACCGGAAACUUCAUUCCUUUAGGAACUUUUGCCUAUUUACGGUGAUUUGCAAUUUGCUGAGCUUUGAAAAUGUGCAUCUAUGUGAUAACAUCAUUUUUCUUAACUGUCCAUCCAAAAUUUCACAAGACAGUUUUGCUUUUUACAUUCACCUUGGCCGCGGAAUAAGAACCUGUUUGUUACAGUGGAAACCUUUCCCUUCUUCAAGGACUUGAAUGUCAGAAUCAUCUACACAAACCAGAUAUUGAUGAGUGAAUAUAAACAGCUCAGCAGUGACGAGAGUUACCUUUUUACAAGUUAUGAGAUCUCCAUUGAUGCUGAUGUAGUAUUCACUUGACACUCCUGCAUUCCCAGUAUAAAGCAGGCCAGUAUAGUAUAGUUCUUCUGAUGAAGUCAUGUGUUAUCCAUUAAAAUUAAGUUAGCUAGCUCAUAAGUAAAGGCUCAAGUUUUUUGGUUCCUUAUAUAAUUUUGCAAUAUUUUUACUAAUACAGGUAUCAUACUUGGUAACAAAUCCUGCUUUUCCUUUUUGAACAAUGAAUGAUCUUACUCAAGUUUACUUAUAUGUUGUUCACGGAGCCAAAAAUUUUGUUUGGAGUUAGUUGCCUAUGUGAUAGUUACCCAUCCCACCAAAUUAGAAACAGACACUAUCCACACUGGGUAACACUUGCAGAAGCUAUAUAGGCCAUGUGGAAACAACAGUCAGAAAUCAGAUAUGCAUGCACAGACAACACAACAGUGGACAAACAAGUGCCCAUUACCAAGGACAUUGCCUCAACAUAGCAAAGUAUUGUGGCAACAGCCAUUUUAAGUUUGGGUGGUGUAUUGGUUGAUGUUUCUGGGGACUGCUCUAUCAACAAGUCAAUUGAAUGGAAAAAGAAAGAAAAUGGUAAAAUUACAGGCCCUUUAAAAGAUACACAUUUUGUUGAAAUCAUAUCUCCUAUAAUAGUUGUUCUACAAAAUAUGAAACAAAGGGUGAACACAGUUCAUGAAUCAUCUCUAUAAUCAGUCUCUGUAGAGCUCAGUAGUCGUCGAGCGUGGCAAUACGUUUGACAAAUACAAAUUACUGUAGCAUAAUGGUAUCCUAAUGAGGAUUUACUGUCAUGCAGGAUAAAAUACACGCUUAUUAACCCUGCAAUUUCUAUUGAUGAUGCAUUUAAGCUUAUGCAUACGAUUGUUGUAUGCAAUGUUGUUUCACUAAACAUGGGACCAUACAUGUUAAGAAAGUUGCAUCACUUGGUAUAUGGAAUAUCUCGGUUAACACUGGACCAUAUGUGUUAAGUAGUUGCAUCAUGUUGUAUAUGGAAUAUUUCUCUAAACACGGGACCAUACGUGUUUAGAAAGUACAUGUUUUGUACAUGAAAUGUUUUACUAAACACAGGACCAUAUACAUGUUUAGUAGGUUACAUCAUGUUGUAAUAGAUAUUGGCUAAACACAGGACCAUAUGUGUUU